GGAUUUAGCUCAGUGGUAGGGCGCUUGCCUAGCAAGCAUAAGGCCCUGGGUUCGGUCCCCAGCUCCG
rnacentral:tRNA from 1 species